AGCCAGUAUGAACUGAACAGAGUCAGACAGUCAGGGGGAGCAAGAUGAAAUCACAAGCACAGGUCCUCUGGUUGCUUCUACUAUGGGUAUCUGGUACCUGUGGUGACAUUGUGAUGACUCAGUCUCCAUCUUCUCUGGCUGUCUCAGCGGGAGAGAAGGUCACUAUGAGCUGCAAGUCCAGUCAGAGUCUUUUAUCUAGUAGUAGCCAAAAGGACUACUUGGCAUGGUACCAGCAGAAACCAGGACUGUCUCCUAAACUACUGAUCUACUUGGCAUCCACUAGGAAAUCUGGGAUCCCUGAUCGCUUCAUAGGCAGUGGAUCUGGAACAGAUUUCACUCUCACAAUCAGCAGUGUACAGGUUGAAGACCUGGCAGUUUAUUACUGUCAGCAGUCCUAUAGUGAUACUCCCACAGUGCUUCAGCAUCCUACAAAAACCCCCCUUGAGACUCUCACCAGCUGCCUGUACCACACAUAG